AUUGAACGCUGGCGGCAUGCUUUACACAUGCAAGUCGAACGGCAGCGCGGGGCAACCUGGCGGCGAGUGGCGAACGGGUGAGUAAUACAUCGGAACGUACCCAGAAGUGGGGGAUAACGUAGCGAAAGUUACGCUAAUACCGCAUACGUUCUACGGAAGAAAGUGGGGGACCUUCGGGCCUCAUGCUUUUGGAGCGGCCGAUGUUGGAUUAGCUAGUUGGUAGGGUAAAGGCCUACCAAGGCGACGAUCAGUAGCUGGUCUGAGAGGACGACCAGCCACACUGGGACUGAGACACGGCCGAGACUCCUACGGGAGGCAGCAGUGGGGAAUUUUGGACAAUGGGCGCAAGCCUGAUCCAGCAAUGCCGCGUGAGUGAAGAAGGCCUUCGGGUUGUAAAGCUCUUUUGUCAGGGAAGAAACGGUCGGGGUUAAUACCUCUGGCUAAUGACGGUACCUGAAGAAUAAGCACCGGCUAACUACGUGCCAGCAGCCGCCGUAACAC
rnacentral:rRNA from 1 species